UUUAGCGGCGGACGGGUGAGUAACACGUGGAGAACCUGGCCUAUACAGGGGGAUAGCCACUCGAAAGGGUGAAUAAUACCGCAUAAAGCAUACGAUAGGCAUCUAGAGGAUGUUAAACGAGUAAUCGGGUAUAGGAUGGCUCCGCGGCCCAUUAGUUAGUUGGUGAGGUAAAGGCCCACCAAGGCAGCGAUGGGUAGCCGAUCUAAGAGGAUGAGCGGCCACAUUGGAACUGAGAGACGGUCCAGACUCCUACGGGAGGCAGCAGUGGGGAAUAUUGCGCAAUGGGGGGAACCCUGACGCAGCAACGCCGCGUAAGUGAAGAAGGUCUUCGGAUCGUAAAGCUGUUUAAACGGGGAAGAGAAAGAGGACAGUACCCGAGGAAAAAGCCACGGCUAACUACGUGCCAGCAGCCGCGGUAAUACGUAGGUGGCGAGCGUUGUCCGGAAUUACUGGGCGUAAAGGGUGCGUAGGCGGCAGAUAAAGUCCGAUGUGAAAACCCAGGGCUCAACCAUGGGAUUGCAUUGGAAACUAACCUGCUAGAGUACAGGAGAGGGGAGCGGAAUUCCUAGUGUAGCGGUGAAAUGCGUAGAUAUUAGGAAGAACACCAGUGGCGAAGGCGGCUUUCUGGACUGAUACUGACGCUGAUGCACGAAAGCGUGGGGGAGCGAACAGGAUUAGAUACCCUGGUAGUCCACGCCGUAAACGAUGAGUGCCAGGUGUAGGGGGUAUCGACACCUUCUGUGCCGGAGCAAACGCAAUAAGCACUCCGCCUGGGGAGUACGGUCACAAGACUAAAACUCAAAGGAAUUGACGGGGGCCCGCACAAGCAGCGGAGCAUGUGGUUUAAUUCGAAGCAACGCGAAGAACCUUACCAGGUCUUGACAUCCAGUGAAUCCAUAAGAGAUUAUGGAGGAUACCGAAAGGUAUACACUGAGACAGGUGGUGCAUGGUUGUCGUCAGCUCGUGUCGCGAGAUGUUGGGUUAAGUCCCGCAACGAGCGCAACCCUUGUAAUUAGUUACGGCAGUAAGAUGAGGACUCUAAUUAGACUGCCGUGGAGAACACGGAGGAAGGUGGGGAUGACGUCAAAUCAUCAUGCCCUAUAUGACCUGGGCUACACACGUGCUACAAUGGCUGAAACAAAGGGGAGCGAAUCCGUAAGGAGGAGCGAAUCGUAAAAAACAGUCCCAGUUCGGAUUGAGGGCUGCAACCCGCCCUCAUGAAGCCGGAGUUGCUAGUAAUCGCGAAUCAGCAUGUCGCGGUGAAUACGUUCCCGGGCCUUGUACACACCGCCCGUCACACCAUGAGAGUCAGCAACACCCGAAGCC
rnacentral:rRNA from 1 species